GACGAACGCUGGCGGCGUGCUUAACACAUGCAAGUCGAACGCUGAAGCUUGGUGCUUGCACUGGGUGGAUGAGUGGCGAACGGGUGAGUAAUACGUGAGUAACCUGCCCUUGACUCUGGGAUAAGCCUGGGAAACUGGGUCUAAUACUGGAUACGACAUGUCACCGCAUGGUGGUGUGUGGAAAGGGUUUUACUGGUUUUGGAUGGGCUCACGGCCUAUCAGCUUGUUGGUGGGGUAAUGGCUCACCAAGGCGACGACGGGUAGCCGGCCUGAGAGGGUGACCGGCCACACUGGGACUGAGACACGGCCCAGACUCCUACGGGAGGCAGCAGUAGGGAAUAUUGCACAAUGGGCGGAAGCCUGAUGCAGCGACGCCGCGUGAGGGAUGACGGCCUUCGGGUUGUAAACCUCUUUCAGCACGGAAGAAGCGAAAGUGACGGUACGUGCAGAAGAAGCGCCGGCUAACUACGUG
rnacentral:rRNA from 1 species